UUUUGGGGCCUGGUCGUCGCUCCGCGUUCUUUGAUCCCAAGGGGCGGGGAAACCCGCUCCGGUCUCGAAUUCGGAGAGGAAAGUCCGGACACCGCAGGGCAGGAUGCCGCACGAGCUUCACCGCAAGUGCGGGCGGCGCGUUUCAAGGCGCGUCGACGGACAGUGUCACAGAAAACAGGUAGCCUUGUUUCGUCCGGUUCGCCGGGCGAGGCACGGUCAUAGUGAAAAGGUGGGGUAAGAGCCCACCGCGUCUCCGCGCAAGCGGGGCGGCACGAAAAACCCCGUCCGGUGCAAGGCAAAAUAGGUGGCUGGACGGCCCGUCCCAUAGCCACGGGUAUGCUGCACCCUGCGGCGCUCCUUCGGGAGCAACGCAGGGCGGGUCGGUGCAAGCCGGCCCGAGAGAAAUGACGACCGAAUCCCGACUUGUCGGGAGGAACAGAAUCCGGCUUACCGGCCCCAAAGCCAA
rnacentral:RNase_P_RNA from 1 species